UACGUAGGGCGCAAGCGUUGUCCGGAAUUAUUGGGCGUAAAGAGCUCGUAGGCGGUUUGUCGCGUCUGUCGUGAAAGCUUGGGGCUUAACCCCAAGUCUGCGGUGGAUACGGGCAGACUAGAGGCAGGUAGGGGAGAACGGAAUUCCCGGUGUAGCGGUGAAAUGCGCAGAUAUCGGGAGGAACACCUGUGGCGAAAGCGGCUCUCUGGACCACAACUGACGCUGAGGCGCGAAAGCUAGGGGAGCAAACAGG
rnacentral:rRNA from 1 species